CCUGCAUUAGGUACACAGCUUUUCGCAAACGCUAACAUAUCACAAUUAAAUGACAUUUUGGUUGCCUGAUGAUGUUUUAUGUUUGCUAUGGUGACUGAAUCAAAUUUUGUUUCCUGACACAGGAUGGCCCUUUCCCCGAGUCACAAGACAAAUAGAGGAAUUUCAUUCUCCUAAACUGUGGCUGUUGCUGACAAGUAGCCUUCUCUUCCUCAAACAGGCUUAUGUGGCAAGACUUGAGCGUGUGUAUAGGUGAUAGGAAGUUUCGUUUCCGUCCAGUGUUCCUCCUUGCUGCUUCGUUUUACCGUUCACUUCUUCACUUUUAUGGUUGUGCGCAACAUGAACAAGAAGUAGGCGUCUUGGCACGGAAGCUUGCUUGAGAAGAACAAGCGAAGAGCGAGGAGAGGCAAGGUCCAGCUGAGGCAGCUGCUUGCUAUUACUCUCACCCCGCACUACCCCCCCCCUCUGGCAGGAAAUGAGCAAUCAUUUAGUACUGACAGGUGCAAGAGUGUGAUUUUCUGAUGUGACGUGGCCCUUAAACGAUAGACGAACCAAUGUUGUAUCCGCAGUUAGUACUAUAUCAGAAAAAUGUCUGCAGGAUCAAAGAGAAUUCUGAUAUUUGCUUGAAUAAAAUUCAAAAGACGAUUAAUCUGCAAAUUAGU